rnacentral:rRNA from 1 species
CCACACUGGAACUGAGACACGGUCCAGACUCCUACGGGAGGCAGCAGUGAGGAAUCUUCCACAAUGGGCGAAAGCCUGAUGGAGCAACGCCGCGUGCAGGAUGAAGGCCUUCGGGUUGUAAACUGCUUUUAUAAGUGAGGAAUAUGACGGUAGCUUAUGAAUAAGGAUCGGCUAACUACGUGCCAGCAGCCGCGGUCAUACGUAGGAUCCGAGCGUUAUCCGGAGUGACUGGGCGUAAAGAGUUGCGUAGGCGGUUUGUUAAGUGAAUAGUGAAAUCUGGUGGCUCAACCAUACAGGCUAUUAUUCAAACUGGCAAACUCGAGAGUGGUAGAGGUCACUGGAAUUUCUUGUGUAGGAGUGAAAUCCGUAGAUAUAAGAAGGAACACCGAUGGCGUAGGCAGGUGACUGGACCAUUUCUGACGCUAAGGCACGAAAGCGUGGGGAGCGAACCGGAUUAGAUACCCGGGUAGUCCACGCCGUAAACGAUGGAUACUAGCUGUUUGGGGUAUCGACCCCCUGAGUAGCGAAGCUAACGCGUUAAGUAUCCCGCCUGUGGAGUACGAUCGCAAGAUUAAAACAUAAAGGAAUUGACGGGGACCCGCACAAGCGGUGGAUCAUGUUCUUUAAUUCGAUGAUAACCGAUAAACCUUACCAGGUCUUGACAUCCUUGGAAUCUUUCAGAAAUGAGAGAGUGCUUUUUAAGAGCCAAGUGACAGGUGAUGCAUGGCCGUCGUCAGCUCGUGUCGUGAGAUGUUUGGUUAAGUCCAUCAACGAGCGCAACCCUUGUCAGUAGUUGUAUUUUUCUACUGAGACUGCCCCGGUAACGGGGAGGAAGGAGGGGAUGAUGUCAGGUCAGUAUUUCCCUUACGUCCUGGGCUAGAAACACGAUACAAUGGCUAGUACAAUGCGCAGCGAAGCCGCGAGGUGAAGCAAAUCGCAUCAAAGCUAGUCCCAGUUCGGAUUGUAGGCUGAAACUCGCCUGCAUGAAGUCGGAAUCGCUAGUAAUCGCAGAUCAGCAUGCUGCGGUGAAUACGUUCCCGGGUCUUGUACACACCGCCCGUCACACCAUGGGAGU